UUGCUAUUAGAUGAGCCUAUAUUAGAUUAGCUAGUUGGUAGGGUAAUGGCCUACCAAGGCUAUGAUCUAUAGCUGAUCUGAGAGGAUGAUCAGCCACACUGGAACUGAGAUACGGUCCAGACUCCUACGGGAGGCAGCAGUGGGGAAUAUUGGACAAUGAGCGGAAGCUUGAUCCAGCUAUGCCGCAUGAGUGAAGAAGGCCUUUGGGUUGUAAAGCUCUUUCAGUGAGGAAGAUAAUGACGGUACUCACAGAAGAAGUCCUGGCUAACUCCGUGCCAGCAGCCGCGGUAAU
rnacentral:rRNA from 1 species